rnacentral:lncRNA from 1 species
GAACAGAAAUAGUCUCCAUAAUCUAAUCUCCAGAAUGCACUAAACCAGGAGAAGAUCCACCUGGAUAAUUUCGUUGUCAAAGGAAUGGAAGAAUAUUAAGGAGAACAAGUCCUCAUCUCUCCAAAGACCCUUCAUCCUUCAUUUCACAAUAGUCUUUAUUGGUCUGCUGGAGUUUGCUGGAGGUCCACUCCAGACCCUGUUUGCCUGGGUAUCACCGGCAGAGGCUGCAGAGCAGCAAAGAUUGCUGCCUGCUCCUUCCUCUGGAAGCUUCAUCCCAAAGGGGCACCCGCCUGAUGCCAGCCAGAGCUCUCCUAGAUGCCCUGCCCAGUGAGGAGGAAUCUAGAGAAGCAGUCUGGCCAUAGCUUUGCUGCACUGCGAUGUUACCUUUUUGACAUAACCAAGUAAACCAACAGGCUUGAAGACACACCGAUCAUAAAAAUGAAUCUAAGAACCCAGGUGUAAUCUUCUGAUUUCUAGGUCCCAGCGCUUCUCAUUUUUAAGCAGAGUUUCAUAGAAAUACUCUAUUCAAACAAACAAACAAAAAAAACAGAAAAGCCACAGACCUCUGUAACAUUUAAGCAGAGGUGUCCUCUUAGUAAAAUGUAAAAUACAUGUGUGAAAUCUGUUUCCAACAAGCUCUUAUGUUAUUUUUAGUGGCCCUUCUCAUCACCUGUGGUGUUUUGUUUUGCCCUCCCUCAACCCAUUUCUAUUGCCCCCAUCCAUACUUUAGCCAACACCAUUCUCUGAUAUGCUGGGUUGCCUGAGUGCCUCACCAUGUCUACCUAGCCCAUGUGUCUCUCUGUCCCCAUCCACAGGGGUAACACCAUCUUGCAGAGAGCAAACACUCUAAGAAGGCCUGAUGGACUCAUCUGCCUGAAAGUGGUCAUAAUGACUGGCACCAUAACCCAUUCUGAGUGUCCAUGGAGUAAUAUAGAGAUGAUAGUAGUUUGCCUCAUGGAAUCUUAAGAAAUAACAUUGUUAUCAUGAUUCUUGCAGCAUUAUGAGUAUUGGCAAGGUGUCCCUGCAAUAGGUUAAAGGUGUGCACUCAAUUUAUGCAAUCCCUCCCCACCCACCCAGAAAUUUUCUCUUCCAUUUAAAUUUUUUACAAUCCUCUUUAAGUUUCAACCCCUCCUCUCAUGACAACUAUUACACACAUAUUCAAGUGAACCUAGCUGCCGCUCUUGCUUCACUUCUAGUAUAGAAAUGUUUACAUUUUCUUCCACGAGGUUCUUGGCAUCUUUUGACAGUACCUGCCAAUGACCACUGAACAUUUUUCAGAUGGAUGUGGGUAUGCUCCAAAUCAUGACAUCAAAGGUAUUUCUUGGAUCUACUGAAUGAUUUAGCCUAAGUGAAUCAGACAAAUAUGGAAAUUAUGUAAAUCUUAUGUGUCACCCAGGGGAAAGAAUGUGAAACAUUUUAAGGCAAAAACAAGUUCUGGUUAUUAUCAGGCAACCUUGGAAAUGUGAGAUGACAAAACAAUGUAAUGUUGCCCAACUCUGGAGAACAAGGAAGGAGAAAAAUUAAUCAGAACAGAUCUCACUUCUCAUUCCAGACUCAAGCUGCUUAGACAGGAAUCCAAAUUAGUGUGCCCCCACUCCAGCUCCAAAUAAAGCACUUUACACAAAAA